GUGAUAUGGCAGGGGAUCCAUUUUGGGUAACACGAUUAAUUGGAUACCCAGUUUUAUCUGAUAUGCAGAAUUCGGAGAUGCAGUGCAGUGAUAUAGGAUGUGGAGCUCACACAGAUUACGGUCUUUUGACACUAGUCAAUCAAGAUAAUGACAUUCAUGCACUUCAGGUGAGAAACCGAUCUGGCGAGUGGAUAUGUGCAGUUCCUAUUCCCAGGACUUUCGUCUGUAACAUCGGUGACAUGCUGAAGGUUUGGUCCAAUGGAGUGUAUGAACCGACCCUACACAAAGUAAUCAACAACUCCCCAAAGUAUCGUGUAUCCGUUGCUUUCUUUUAUGAGCCGAAUUUCGAUACCGGUGUCGAGCCAUUUGAUUUUUGCAAGCUAAAGACGGGCGGUGAAGCAAAAUUUGAAAGGGUUGUUU
rnacentral:misc_RNA from 1 species